UAUGAUGCUGGCGUAAUGGUUGUAAGCGGCCUGUCUUGAAACACGGACCAAGGAGUCUAACAUCUGUGCGAGUGUUUGGGUGUCAAACCCGUACGCGUAAUGAAAGUGAACGGAGGCGGGAACCCCUCGGGGUGCACCGUCGACCGAUCCUGAUGUCUUCGGAUGGAUUUGAGUAAGAGCAUAGCUGUUGGGACCCGAAAGAUGGUGAACUAUGCCUGAAUAGGGUGAAGCCAGAGGAAACUCUGGUGGAGGCUCGCAGCGGUUCUGACGUGCAAAUCGAUCGUCAAAUUUGGGCAUAGGGGCGAAAGACUAAUCGAACUAUCUAGUAGCUGGUUCCUGCCGAAGUUUCCCUCAGGAUAGCAGUAACGUUUUCAGUUUUAUGAGGUAAAGCGAAUGAUUAGAGGCCUGGGGGUUGAAACAACCUUCACCUAUUCUCAAACUUUAAAUAUGUAAGAAGUCCUUGUUACUUAGUUGAACGUGGACAUUUGAAUGUAUCGUUACUAGUGGGCCAUUUUUGGUAAGCAGAACUGGCGAUGCGGGAUGAACCGAACGCGGAGUUAAGGUGCCGGAAUGCACGCUCAUCAGACACCACAAAAGGUGUUGGUUCAUCUAG
rnacentral:rRNA from 1 species